rnacentral:rRNA from 1 species
UACAGAGGGGGCAAGCGUUGUUCGGAAUUACUGGGCGUAAAGGGCGCGUAGGCGGCCUGCUAAGUCGAACGUGAAAUCCCCGGGCUCAACCCGGGAACUGCGUCCGAUACUGGCACGCUUGAAUCCGGGAGAGGGAUGUGGAAUUCCAGGUGUAGCGGUGAAAUGCGUAGAUAUCGGGAGGAACACCAGUAGCGAAGGCGGCUCGCUGGGCCACACCUGACGCUGAGACGCGAAAGCGUGGGGAGCAAACGGG